UUUUAUAAAAAAUUCACAUUUAAGAGAAAAUCGGAAAAGAUUAUGAUCACUUUCCAAGCGCCCUCCAACCCGGAAGUCGUGACGUCAGUACGUGAACGUUCAUCUCAACAUGGCGGAUUACUGCACUACAUGCGGUAGCCAAAACGAGAAAUCUGAAAGCGAAAUUUCGACUUCAACCGAGCGAUUCCUACCAGGAGACCAUUCUGAUGUAUCGGAGGAAGAAUAUUUGUGUCUGGAGCCUCACAUGUUCGACCCAGACAUUUCAGAGGAAGAGAAGGCAGCGGACGAACAACAGCGAGUCGGACAAUGAGUGGAGAUUGGACGUCGGGAGAUUAGAUGAAUGGUGUUCCUGUACUCACUGCCAAUAAUGGAUUCUGUGAGAGAGUGCAUCUGUUGCCAGGAAAUGGGCUUGGUUGUUGCUAAGAUGGAAGCCAGAGAGGAGAUGGAUGGACAAAUCCCUGACACAGACCAUCCUGGCAUGGAAGCGGUGUGUCUAAAUGCUUGGACAUUGCAGGUUGCUUGGUCCCAAUACAAGCAACAGCGUAGGCAUAUAGCCUAUAGACAAUUUGUGAGAUGGUGUUGGGACUAUUUAGGCAAAGAUACCAGGGCUGUGAUACCCUCGUGUGCAGUUAGCUGUAUAAGGGCCCACUUCCCAGGACAUGAAGAUGACUUUACCUUUAGAGGUCACCAGUUAACUGAUGGCAGUUAAAAAAAAUACCCAAGCUGAAAGAAUAAAAUCUAAAACAUGCAUGUAAACAAAAUUGUUGUGGUUAAAUAUGUAAUAUAAGCAAUUACUAAUAAAAUGAUUUCAUGGUCUUUUU